rnacentral:misc_RNA from 1 species
UCCGGCUUAACGCCGGCGGUCUCCCUAGAGUGCCCAACUGAAUGAUGGCAACUAGGGAUAAGGGUUGCGCUCGUUAAGGGACUUAACCCGACAUCUCACGAUACGAGCUGACGACAGCCAUGCAGCACCUGUCUCCCGGCCCCCGAAGGGGAAGCCCUAUCUCUAGGGCGGUCCGAGGAUGUCAAACCCAGGUAAGGUUCUUCGCGUUGCAUCGAAUUAAACCACAUGCUCCACCGCUUGUGCGGGCCCCCGUCAAUUCCUUUGAGUUUUAACCUUGCGGCCGUACUUCCCAGGCGGGGUACUUAAUGCGUUAGCGUCGACACUGGAGGGGUCAAUUCCCCCAACAUCUAGUACCCAUCGUUUAUGGCGUGGACUAC